rnacentral:rRNA from 1 species
GAACGAACGCUGGCGGCGCGCCUAAUACAUGCAAGUCGAGCGAGAAGACGUAGCAAUACGUUUGUAAAGCGGCGAACGGGUGAGGAAUACAUGGGUAACCUACCCUCGAGUGGGGAAUAACUAGCCGAAAGGUUAGCUAAUACCGCGUACGCUUCUUGGACUUCGGUUCAGGGAGGAAAGCGAUACCGUGGGUAUCGCGCUCUUGGAUGGGCUCAUGUCCUAUCAGCUUGUUGGGAGGUAACGGCUCACCAAGGCUUCGACGGGUAGCUGGUCUGAGAGGACGAUCAGCCACACUGGCACUGCGACACGGGCCAGCUCCUACGGGAGGCAGCAGUAAGGAAUAUUGCGCAAUGGGCGAAAGCCUGACGCAGCGACGCCGCGGUGGGGGAUG